CCCUUAGAUGUUCUGGGCCGCACGCGCGCUACACUGAUGCAUUCAACGAGCCUAUCCUUGACCGACAGGUCCGGGUAAUCUUUGAAUCUGCAUCGUGACGGGGAUAGAUUAUUGCAAUUAUUAAUCUUCAACGAGGAAUGCCUAGUAGGCGCAAGUCAUCAGCUUGCGUCGAUUACGUCCCUGCCCUUUGUACACACCGCCCGUCGCUCCUACCGAUUGGGUGUGCUGGUGAAAUGUUCGGAUCGGCCGUUUGUCGCGGUUUCCGAGGCUCGUGGCUGAGAAGUUCAUUAAACCCUCCCACCUAGAGGAAGGAGAAGUCGUAACA
rnacentral:rRNA from 1 species